CGGUGCCCUCGGCCCAGGGCCGUGCGGGACGCCGCUCGCUGCCCAGAGCUCAGCGCCGCUCUGCACCCCUGGGUUCCUGCGCUGCCCGCUCCUGCCGGGCCGGCCGUCACGUACAAACACCCGUGGGCGCUUGAGCAAGCACUGAGUUUCACAGACAUGUGGAAGGGUGGAUCUAAAACAUUGGAUUUGUUUACUGCAUUUUUGAAACACAGACUAAGAGCUCCCUAAAAGCCAGGAGCAGUUAAAAAUGAUUCAUGUCUUGAUCACCAUCUGUAUUUUUUUUUUUCUUCAGGUUUCAAAUGCCAACAAUUGAAGGUAAUGAAAUCGAGAGAGAAAAUGCGGAAGAGCCACAGUGGAGCACUCGGGAGGCACAGCAGCUCUGUAGCACUGACAGCAUCGGUCAGUCUGAAAACACAGGAACGAGCCUCAGCAAAGCUGAUCCGUGCCGCACAGCGCAGUACUGACACCUGCCUUCUGGAAUGAGCAAACUAGGCUUUUCUUUUUGUAAAGUAUUUGUGUUCCCCAUCUCUUCAAGUAACUUGUGUUCCCGCUGCUCGCAGCCUGUCGGAGUGGUUUGUGAUCGUCCACCAGUCCAGCCCACUGAGAUUGUGGCCAAGCCCAGGGCUGGACACGCUGCAGCAGCGUGGGGAGCGGGUUUCACCCCGGCUCUUCAGGUGCGAACAGUGAGGUCACCUUUGCUGUCCCAGCGUUAACUGAGCACGGGACUGGCGUCAGGAGCAACAGAAUGGACCCAACACCACUCAUGUACUGAUUGCAUCGGGACUGGCUGGAGAACAGAAGUCAGUCAUGUCAAGAAACCCAAGUCCACACAAAAGCAAGGCACAGCGCUCUCCUGAGGGAAACAUAAGGGUGCAGAAGUACAGGGGAGACUUGUACACAGCUGUUAACGGACACAGGUAACCGAGUUCUUUAUGGUUGGGAUGAGACCGUGUUUUCCAUAUCUUCAUGCUUCCAUGUCCUUAGUGCAUUCCCCAGCCUUUCUCACUGUCAGACCGAACCUUUUUCGGAUGCAGAAUAGCAGAAAGUAAAGCACUUGAAUUCACCUUUGAGCAGCUCUGGCUUAGGGGCUUCUUUCA
rnacentral:lncRNA from 1 species